CGUCCGGAACAUUUCAGGAAUCUGUCUCAGGACAAGAUAAUCCUGGGACAGCUGCCCUCUAAUUUUGAGUGCAGGGCAGGAGGAUCCGGGUGUUUCAGUCAGAGCUGAGAGAUUGGCUGAAAUUAAAGUUGGCAGAAAAAAAAACGAAAAUGCAUUUUGCAACUGCAGGGCUUAACGGUUUCUGCGGCACCGUUUUAUCGAGGGAUGUGGAGGAGGUCAGGACCCGAUCCCGAGGCGCAGAGUGAAUGGACAGUCAGUUAAUGAUUCACCCUGGCAGCAUCAUCCACUGUUGCCGUAGCAACAGCACCUGCAUUCAGAAACCUCCUCAAAGCUGCAGCCUGCAUUAUGAAAUACGCCUCACGUUGACGGAAGCAGAGGAGUGGGAAUCCUGGAGGUGGAUAGUUAUCCUGAGAAUAUAUUGUGGAAAUAAGCUGCUGUCAAAGCGAAAUCACAGCCACAAAGAGCCGGAGCAGAUGGCAGGAGCCUUCAGGCUGAGCUGUGCGUCAUUACCCUCAGCAACAAAUCUGACUUGGAAGACAUACUGGUGAAGUGGAAAGAAAAGGAUGACAUUUCUAUUAUUUUCAAAUAAAAAUUAAAACAUUUUAUAGACAUCUUUUUGUUUCGGUGGGGAACUCCAGGUGUCACAUGUGCAAGUUAAGCAUGAAUACUCACACAAUAAAGUAAAAUGAUACGAAAAUAAGAACAGCACUUUGUCCAGUAAGGUCAAAGUGCAUACAGAACAACAUCAUACUGUUUACAAGUAGAAAAGGCUGUGAAAAACAGCAGGGACGAGAUGAAAACAUGUCUGCAGUGGUUCAGUCAGGACUUUGUAAAAAUACUUUUUGCUGCUGUUGCGUCUGCAGGUCCUCUUGGUUUUGUCUCCAACAGUUUUUGCACAUUUCCAGACCGACACUUUCCCCCAGUUUAAUUUGCAAAAACAGAUCCGGGUCAGUGAGUCUGUAAACAUGAGUCUCAUUUCGAUUUAUGUCUGGACUGCCACUGGUUGUACAAGCUUCAGUCUGAGGUAUGUUGCAGAUUUUAACAGAAUUCCCUCCAGGAUUACAGGUUUAUCCCACAGCUUGAUGCGGCCACCACCAUGCAUCACAGUGGUGCUGGUGCAAUCAGUGUUCCUCCCUCCACCUGUUCGCCGUGUCUCGACUGCAAAUGGCUUCCUCUCAUCAUCGGCUUCCUUCUCGCCACUUUUGUCUGAUUCAGAAAUCUGGGGCACAUUUUCCUCACUUUUGAGGAUCCCGUUUUUAGCGCAGCAUGGUCCACAGCCUCAUGCAGAAAUGUUUAGCCGUGAUGCAACAUUUUCGUCUCUCAAAACGAUGUUUUUUUUUCUUUUUUCUUCCGCUUCAAAAAAAUAAUUGUCAGACCUAAUAUAGAGUAAUCGUCACUCCCUUAAAUUUAAAUCUAUAAAUUAGGUAAACUUGAAGGUCUCCUUUUCGAAAGCAUGCCAAAUUUAAAAGUUCAUGUUUUUACAUUAACACGCUAGGUUUACUGAUGAAUAUGUAUGAGAAAGCAACUGAUCAAGGCUGAUGAAUAAAAACGGGGCUCCGUUUCCUCUGUGGUGAAAACUUUAGACCCUACGAGCUGCAGGAGCCGAGAGCAAAUCUCAUCCAUUAGUCAUGAGGUUCAGAGUGCAGGCAUGGCUUUGUGUGGGACUGGGAGCGAUUCUGCAGCGCUGUACUACGCCACAUUCGUCCUCUCUCCUCCUCCUCUUUCUCGUCUCUGGAUCCCUCCCGGCUCAGCUUUAAUAUGUUGAGUCACAAAGUGGGAAGGAGGGACGCCUCCCUCCCUCCCUCUCUCUCUCCUCCGGCCGCCGUGCUCACGCUUUCAGCUCGCCAGUCUCUCCUUUGAAGAUGAAAGGUGCAGCCGAUCAGAUUAUUUUCCAAUGAAAUUGCAUUGAUCCCAUUUAGUUUUAUCAGGGUGGGAGUAUUUUAGUCGGUGCUGCUGCAAGUUGAGGUUUUCCUCCCUGGAGGAGUUUCCCCCCCUGCCUUUUUUUUUUUUUUUUACAAAUGACUCAAGUAAGAGUCCAGGUGUACAAAAAGAAAUGAGAAAAGAUUAGCUGUAGCGCUUCAGUUCUCAAUGUAAUACCAUACAUUUUUGUUAAAUACAUCGUUCUUUAGAAAAUGAGAACUGGAUCGCAAUGGGGGGGUUUUCUUUGUUAAAUAAAGGAAAGGAAAAAAACAUAACUGUGGU